AACGAACGCUGGCGGCGUGCUUAACACAUGCAAGUCGAACGCGAAAGGGACUUCGGUCCUGAGUAGAGUGGCGCACGGGUGAGUAACGCGUGGGAAUCUACCUUGGAGCGGGGACAACCCGGGAACCCGGCUAAUACCGCAUACGUCCUAAGGGAGAAGAGGGCCUCUGCCUGCAAGCUCUCACUCCAAGAUGAGCCCGCGUCCGAUUAGCUAGUUGGUAGGGUAAAGGCCUACCAAGGCCACGAUCGGUAGCUGGUCUGAGAGGAUGAUCAGCCACACUGGGACUGAGACACGGCCCAGACUCCUACGGUGGCAG
rnacentral:rRNA from 1 species